rnacentral:rRNA from 1 species
UACGUAGGGUGCGAGCGUUAAUCGGAAUUACUGGGCGUAAAGCGUGCGCAGGCGGUGAUGUAAGACAGAUGUGAAAUCCCCGGGCUCAACCUGGGAACUGCAUUGUGACUGCAUCGCUGGAGUGCGGCAGAGGGGGAUGGAAUUCCGCGUGUAGCAGUGAAAUGCGUAGAUAUGCGGAGGAACACCGAUGGCGAAGGCAAUCCCCUGGGCCUGCACUGACGCUCAUGCACGAAAGCGUGGGGAGCAA